ACACCUCACCCCCUCGGGUUUCCGAUCGGGUGGACUUGGGCGCCUGCCAUUCACUUGGCUCGCCUUAAAUGCAUUAGCGGUCGUUGACGUAAUAAGUUUCGUCGGUCUGGCCGCUGACAAUCUCCCUCCACUGGGAUGUCCCGCGAGGGACACUUUCAUG
rnacentral:misc_RNA from 1 species